GGAUGCGAUCAUACCAGCACUAAUGCACCGGAUCCCAUCAGAACUCACGAAGUUAAGCGUGCUUGGGCGAGAGUAGUACUAGGAUGGGUGACCCCCCUGGGAAGUCCUCGUGUUGCAUCCC
rnacentral:rRNA from 1 species